rnacentral:tRNA from 2 species
GCGCGACUGGCGGAAUUGGCAGACGCACUAGAUUUAGGUUCUAGCGGGAGACCGUGGGGGUUCAAGUCCCUCGUCGCGCACCA